AGCGAACGCUGGCGGCAGGCUUAACACAUGCAAGUCGAGCGGGCCCUUCGGGGUCAGCGGCGGACGGGUGAGUAACGCGUGGGAACGUGCCUUCUGGUCUGGAAUAACCCUGGGAAACUAGGGCUAAUACCGGAUACGCCCUUUUGGGGAAAGGUUUACUGCCGGAAGAUCGGCCCGCGUCUGAUUAGCUAGUUGGUGGGGUAACGGCCGUACCAAGGCGACGAUCAGUAGCUGGUCUGAGAGGAUGAUCAGCCACACUGGGACUGAGACACCGGCCCAGACUCCUACGGGAGGGCAGCAGUGGGGAAUAUUGGACAAUGGGCGCAAGCCUGAUCCAGCCAUGCCGCGUGAGUGAUGAAGGCCUUAGGGUUGUAAAG
rnacentral:rRNA from 1 species